GCCUCCCUCUGGCGGCGUGCUUAACACAUGCAAGUCGAACGGAAAGGCCCUGCUUUUGUGGGGUGCUCGAGUGGCGAACGGGUGAGUAACACGUGAGUAACCUGCCAUUGACUUUGGGAUAACUUCAGGAAACUGGGGCUAAUACCGGAUAGGAGCUCCUGCGGCAUGGUGGGGGUUGGAAAGUUUUGGCGGUUGGGGAUGGACUCGCGGCUUAGCAGCUGGUUGGUGGGGUCGUGGCUUACCAAGGCUUUGACGGGUAGCCGGCCUGAGAGGGUGACCGGCAACAUUGGGACGGAGAUACGGCCCAGACUCCUACGGGAGGCAGCAGUGGGGAAGAUUGCACAAUGGGCGGAAGCAUGAUGCAGCAACGCCGCGUGCGGGAUGACGGCCUUCGGGUUGUAAACCGCUGUCGCCUGUGACGAAGCGUGAGUGACGGUAAUGGGUAAAGAAGCACCGGCUAACUACGUG
rnacentral:rRNA from 1 species